CUCGUUUGUCGUGUGUGUGUGUGUGUGUGUGUGUGUAUGCGUGUUCAUGGGCGUGUCCGAUCCUGGCUCCUCUCCACCUGCAGUGUCUCACACCUGUGGCUCAACCAGUAAUCAAUCCGUGCAGUUAAAUACUCCGGUUCAGCUCCCACUCUUCGCUAGUUCAUCAGUUUACCUCCUGCGUAUCACCCGAGCCCCGAGACGCUGCCCACCUGUCUACCUGAACUCUGCCUGUCAGCCUGCCAAGCCACUCCGCCCUGAACUGAAGGACGCCAAUACCAAGCCCCGCUCUGUCUGGAAACCCCCGCUUAUCCCAAAUCAUUCGUUCUCUUUCCUGCACUGUAAAUAAUAAAUCAGAUCGUGUGUUUUGACAUCUAA